rnacentral:rRNA from 1 species
UACGGAGGGUGCAAGCGUUAUCCGGAAUCAUUGGGUUUAAAGGGUCCGUAGGCGGGCUAAUAAGUCAGGGGUGAAAUCCAACAGCUUAACUGUUGAACUGCCUUUGAUACUGUUAGUCUUGAAUUAUAUGGAAGUAGAUAGAAUGUGUAGUGUAGCGGUGAAAUGCUUAGAGAUUACACAGAAUACCGAUUGCGAAGGCAGUCUACUACGUAUAUAUUGACGCUAAUGGACGAAAGCGUGGGGAGCGAACAGG